CUUCUGUGACUCCGUAGUCCUCUGGGAGUUUUAUUUAUCCUUUAAUUUAAUUUAAUUUAAUUUAAUUUUUUUUUUUUUUGAGACAGAGUCUUGCUCUGUCACCCCGGCUGGAGUGCAGUAGCAUGAUCUUGGCUCACUGCAACCUCUGCCUCCUGGGUUCAAGCAAUUCUCAUGCCUCAACCUCCCUAGUAGCUGGGAUUACAGGUGUGCACCACCACGCCCAGAUACAUCUCUAGUAUCUUUACUAAAGACAAGCUUUCACCAUGUUGGCCAGGCUGUUCUUGAGUUCCUGGCCUCAAGUGAUCUGCCUGCUUUGGCCUCCCAAAGUGCUGGGAUUACCUGUAUGAGCCACUGUGCCCAGCCUUAUAUAUCUAUUAAUUUUAUUCCAGCAGCAGAAACUCAGCAAAGCUCUCCAGAGUUGGUUCCUCUCCCUGCAUCCCAGAAGACUCCAUCCUUCUCUACACCCCUUUUCUCUCUACCAUAAAUAAAGAUUCUAUUAGGGGUGCCAUUUCUUCUGCUCUAAAAUGGGAAUAUUAAUCUCUUCAUGAGACUAUUGUAAAAGUGAAGAAAAUAAUAUAUGUGAAAGAGCUUUGCGUUCUCUAAAUCACCAUAGAUUUUAAAGAAUCGCUGGGCGAGGUGGCUUAUGCCUGUAAUCCCAGCUACUUGGGAGGCUGAGGCAGCAGAAUCGCUUGAGCCUCGGAGGCCGAAGUUGCAGUAAGCCGAGAUCGCGCCACUGCACUCCAGCCUGGGGAAUGGGAGUGAAACCCUGUCUCAAAAAAAAAAAAAAAAAUUAUUAUUAUGACAGUGUUUAAUUUUCUUGGUAAAGUCAGAACAGUGCUACUUUUGUGUUCUCUAUUCUGACCCGCAUGAGGUAAAGCUGAGAAAGUGGUAUUCUGGUUCACAGUCUGUGGCCUUUGUCCCAUCUUUCCUUUCCUAGGUGAAAAUUAGUUCUGCUGUGCUUAAAGCUGCGGCCCAUCACUAUGGAGCUCAAUGUGAUAAGCCCAACAAGGAGUUUAUGCUCUGCCGCUGGGAAGAGAAAGAUCCGAGGCGGUGUUUAGAGGAAGGCAAACUGGUCAACAAGUGUGCUUUGGACUUCUUUAGGUAAAAAUCUUUGGUAUCAGUGCCUACUUGGUUGAAGCAUAAAGGUUUAAAUGAAUAAGUGAACAGCCAGCUAAUAAUCUGGAUUUUAUUAGGAAGUACAUAGGCUUUGAAAUCAGACCAAGGUAAAACAUUCAAAGGAUGAUAAUUAUUUUUGGUUUUGUUUUUAUUAUCUGGCAAGUUCUUUUAUCUCCAUGAAUCUCAGUUUCCAAAUUGUAAAAUAAUACCUAUCUAGGUUUGCUAAGCAAGUGACUGGUGACCAUUUUUGCUACAGCAAGGGGAAAGUCUUUUUGCUGUGAAAAAUUUGAAAAGGCACGUAAAACAACCUAUCACAGUCCUUUUUAAGCAGGCAUUCACUAGGUUGUUGUCAUUACUACAGAACACAGGUAUGAUGGAAAGAAAACUGUAUGCGGAGUUAGGUUUUACGUAGGUCAUUGUGCAUGAUACUUAAGUAAAAAAAAACUAAGCUGUGUAAUUGUAGGAAAAUGUUUUAACAAGCAUAUUAGCACUCUAUUUAAAAGGAGAGAAAGUCAACUCAAAGGAAAUUGGCUCUUGUAACUCUGAAGUCCAGAAAUAGGCCUGGCAUCAGGCAGGGCUGGAUUCAAGGGCUUAAAUAAUUUCACAACUACUUGAUGUCUUUUUGCCUCUCCUCUUUUCACAAUCUCUUAGUUCUGGUUUUCUCUGUUGACCUCAUUUUGGAAAGACUCUCACCUUGCUGUACCAAAAAUGGCCACCAGCCACUCGAGUUGCUGUUCUGUUGAUACUUGCUUAGCAAACCUAGACAAAGUGUGCCCUUUAUCCAGAAGUGAGCAGAAGCUCCUGGACUGAGUCUAAUUGUCCUGGCUGGCGGACUUCGUAUACAUAUCAUUGCAUCACUUGUGCUUCAGGAGAUAAAAAGCUCUGAUUGCUCAGGCCUGAGAUGGGGAGUGGACUUAGCUUCAUCCAAACCACAUUGCUGAGAGACAGGGAGGGGUUGUUCCCAAAGGAAAAUUAGAAGGAUGUUACGGAAGAAUGGGGAAUGACUGCUGGCUAGGCAGAAACCACCGAUGUCCACUACAAUGAAGUUAGAGAAAAAAAAUAGAUACCUUAGCACAGUAGCUGCUUUCCUCCUUUCUUGCUUCUGCUGUCUCUGUCCCUAUGCAAAGAUAUUUUUGUGGUUAUAAUCAUAGUAUGUAUACAUUGAGAAAUUCAUUUUUCACUUGAUAUUAUUGGAAACACUCUUCGAAGUUGCUAUAUAGUCUUCAUGAUCAUCUUUUUUUUUUUUUUUUUUUUUUUUGAGACGGAGUCUCACUCUGUUGCCCAGGCUGGAGUGCAAUGGUGUGAUCUUGGCUCACUGCAACCUCUGCCUCCUGGCUUCAAGCGAGUCACAUGUCUCAGCCUCCUGAAUAGCUGGGUCUACAGGCCUGCGCCACUAUGCCUGGCUAAUUUUUUUGUAUUUUUGGUAGAGAUGGGGUUUCAGCAUGUUGGCCAGGCUGGUCUUGAACUCCUGACCUCAAGUGAUCCGCUCUCCUUGGCCUCCCAAAGUGCUGGGAUUGCAGGUGUGAGCCACCGCACCUGGCCGUGAUCAUCAUUCUUAAUGGUUAUAUAUUAUUCCAUCAGUGGAUAAACCAACCAUAACGUACCUGACCAAUUCCUGUUAUUGAACAUCAUUGUUGAUUUCAGUUUUUGAUUAUUUUGGAUAAAUCUGCAGUGAUUACCUUUGCGUAUAGAUCAUUUUCAUCAGUUAAUAAUUCCUUGGCAUAAAUUUCCUAACAGUGAGUUUACUCUAUAAAGGGCUUUGAACAUCAUUAUGGCUCUUGAACUGUAUUGCUUUUUUUUUUUUUUUUUUUUUUUUUUUGUGAUGGGGUGUCACUCUGUCGCCCAGGCUGGAGUGCAGUAGCACGAUCUUGGCUUACUGCAAGCUCCGCCUCCCGGGUUCGCGCCAUUCUCCUGCCUCAGCCUCCCGAGUAGCUAGGACUAUAGGGCACCCAGUACCACGCCCAGCUAAUUUUUUGUAUUUUUAGUAGAGACGGGGUUUCACCAUGGUCUCAAUCUCCUGAUCUCGUGAUCCACCUGCCUUGGCCUCCCAAAGUGCUGGGAUUACAAGCGUGAGCCACCGUGCCCAGCAAAUGCUUUUGUUUUUUAAAUGUUGGAUCAAUUUAUGCUGUCCUCAGCGCUGGAUUCUGGUAUGCAUAGUAUUUAAAUAUUUGGGAGGUGCAAAUAUUUUUGGAUGUUUCAAUUUGCAUUGAUUUGAUUGCCAGCGAGAUUGAGUCUGUGUGUGUGUUUAUUUAAACAAUUUUUCUUUUUUUUUUGAGACAGAGUCUCACUCUGUCACCCAGGCUGUAGUGCUGUGGCGUGAUCUUUGUUCGCUGCAACCUCUGCCUCCUGGGUUCAAGCGAUUCUCGUGCCUCAGCCACCUGAGUAGCUGGGAUUACGGGUGUGUGCCACCUGCCUGGCUAAUUUUUGUAUGUUUAGUAGAGAUGGGGUUUCGCCAUGUUGGCCAGGCUGGUCUUGAACUCCUGGCCUCAAGUGAUCCGCCUACCUUGGCCUCCCAAGGUGCUGGGAUUACAGGCAUGAGCCACAGCAUCCAGCCUAAACAAUUUUUAUUUUCUAAGAGAACUUUUGCAAAGCAUUUUUUCCAUGGUCCAGUGGUAGUACAUUUUAAGCGGGGAAUGUUUGGAUUUCACAAAUUCCCAAGGUGAAUCCAUAGAGGAAUUUCUCACUGCUGAAGUUGCUGGUUGUAGGCAUUAGUAGAUAAUUGUUAGGUAUGGGUAACAGGGUCCAGAACAGGGAUCCAUGCUACUAGAGUAGUGGCUUGCAGCCCGUCUGCUGCUGCUGCAUUUUGGAGGAAUAUAAAACUCCCAUUGGAAAUGGUUGCUUUCUACCAAAGUGAUUCUUGAGUAGAAGUUAUGUGGGUGCAGGUUAUGCUUAGUAUACCCGGAAGGGAAA
rnacentral:lncRNA from 1 species